GAUGAACGCUGGCGGCGUGCCUAAUACAUGCAAGUCGAGCGAACAGACGAGGAGCUUGCUCCUCUGACGUUAGCGGCGGACGGGUGAGUAACACGUGGAUAACCUACCUAUAAGACUGGGAUAACUUCGGGAAACCGGAGCUAAUACCGGAUAAUAUAUUGAACCGCAUGGUUCAACAGUGAAAGACGGUUUUGCUGUCACUUAUAGAUGGAUCCGCGCCGCAUUAGCUAGUUGGUAAGGUAACGGCUUACCAAGGCAACGAUGCGUAGCCGACCUGAGAGGGUGAUCGGCCACACUGGAACUGAGACACGGUCCAGACUCCUACGGGAGGCAGCAGUAGGGAAUCUUCCGCAAUGGGCGAAAGCCUGACGGAGCAACGCCGCGUGAGUGAUGAAGGUCUUCGGAUCUUAAAACUCUGUUAUUAGGGAAGAACAAAUGUGUAAGUAACUAUGCACGUCUUGACGGUACCUAAUCAGAAAGCCACGGCUAACUACGUG
rnacentral:rRNA from 1 species